AGAGAGAGAGAGAGUCAGAGCAGGAAAAGGUAUUUGUGGAGAAAACACCUUAUUUGGACUUUUCUGAGGUGAUCCAACGGUGCGUUGCCAAAAUGAGAUGUUGGAGCGUAAAUGUGAGACGAGAAACAGCUUACAUGAGGAGUGCAUUGCCAGAGGCAUUUUAAUGAUGCAGACUAGAGGGACUCGAAACAAGAACAACAGACAAGUGUUCCUGUGCGCUCCAGACACCAGCUGAAUUAUUACUGUAUACAGAAUCCGGCAUCUCUUUGGAGAAUCACAUAAAUCUAGUUUAAAAAAAAAAAAAAAAAAAAAGGAGACUGGUAUCCAGGUGUCACAGUGGCCUCGGAGAUAGAAUUGAGUUCAACGUGAGUUCACAGAAGC